rnacentral:tRNA from 1 species
GCAGUCGUGGCCGAGUGGUUAAGGCGUGGAACUUGAAAUCCAUUGGGAUCUUCCCGCGCAGGUUCGAAUCCUGCCGACUGCG